GGAAAUAUAGCUCAGUGGUACAGUGCCUGCCUGGCAAGCGUAAGGUCCUGAGUUCAAUUCCCAGUACCA
rnacentral:tRNA from 1 species